rnacentral:misc_RNA from 1 species
GAUGAAGAACGCAGCGAAAUGCGAUAAGUAGUGUGAAUUGCAGAAUUCAGUGAAUCAUCGAAUCUUUGAACGCACAUUGCGCCCUUUGGUAUUCCAAAGGGCAUGCCUGUUCGAGCGUCAUUUGUACCCUCAAGCUUUGCUUGGUGUUGGGCGUCUUGUCUCCAGUUCGCUGGAGACUCGCCUUAGAGUAAUUGGCAGCCGGCCUACUGGUUUCGGAGCGCAGCACAAGUCGCGCUCUCUUCCAGCCAAGGUCAGCAUCCACAAAGCCUUUUUUCAACUUUUGACCUCGGAUCAGGUAGGGAUACCCGCUGAACUUAAGCAUAUCAAUAAGCGGAGGA